rnacentral:rRNA from 1 species
UAUGUAGGGUGCAAGCGUUAAUCGGAAUUACUGGGCGUAAAGCGCACGUAGGCGGAUUGUUAAGUCAGGGGUGAAAUCCUGGAGCUCAACUCCAGAACUGCCUUUGAUACUGGCGAUCUUGAGUCCGGGAGAGGUGAGUGGAACUGCGAGUGUAGAGGUGAAAUUCGUAGAUAUCAGGAGGAACACCAAUAGCGAAGGCAGCUCGCUGGGACGGUACUGACACUAAGGCGCGAAAGCGUGGGGAGCGAACAGG